rnacentral:rRNA from 1 species
GGGCUUGACAUCCCACGAACCUGCUGCAAGGCAGGAGUGCCCGCAAGGGAGCGCGGAGACAGGUGGUGCAUGGCUGUCGUCAGCUCGUGUCGUGAGAUGUUGGGUUAAGUCCCGCAACAAGCGCAACCCUCACCCCUUGUUGCUACCAGGUAAAGCUGGGCACUCUAGGGGAACUGCCCCGGUCAACGGGGAGGAAGGCGGGGAUGACGUCAAGUCAUCAUGCCCCUUACGUCCUGGGCUACACACGUGCUACAAUGGCCGGUACAAAGGGAUGCCACACCGCGAGGUAGAGCUAAACCCAAAAAGCCGGUCUAAGUUCAGAUUGGAGUCUGCAACUCGACUCCAUGAAGGAGGAAUCGCUAGUAAUCGCGUAUCAGCACGACGCGGUGAAUACGUUCCCGGGCCUUGUACACACCGCCCGUCACACCACGAAAGCCAGCUGUACUCGAAGUCGCUGAG